rnacentral:rRNA from 1 species
AUGCGGAUCCGCAGGUCCGCCUCCCGCCUGCUUGGCUCUGCCGCAUCCGCCUCCUGCACGGAGGCCCCCCGAUUCGAGCCGCCCCCGCCGCCAGCCCCAGCCCCAGCCCGCGAAUCCGGCGCCGGGUUCCUGGGGCCGAAGACCUCCUCCGGCGGGGAGCCCUGCUGCGAGCUCAGCCGGUCGCCGUGGGACCUCAUGGCCCAGCUCGACCUCUCGGAUCCCCAGGUGGAGAAGCUCUUCGUGGAGACUUGCUUCAUGAGUGUUUCCUGGCGAGGUAGCUGGCUCUUCCCAGCAAGCAUCACCAUGCCUGCCGGCUCCAUCAGGGAGGAGGAAGACUUGGCCGUAGAUAUGGUUGACGGGGUCAUCUUGAAACUGCACAAAGCUGUGGAAAAGAUGGAUAGCAAGCUGAAGCCAUAUAAGGGGGUCAAAGUGAACAAAGGAGUGUGGAGGUGCCGGAAGAAUGACGGCAAGAGGUGGUGCUGCCGGCGGCCCGCGAGUAAGCCUAACUCAUACUGCUCGUACCACUCGGAUCAGAAGCUCUCCGUCGGCGACAAGCCACGUAGGAAGAGGCCCGACAUCGACCUGGGCGAGGGGUUCUACUACUAUGCGGGGUUUGGCCCCGGCACCAAGAGGCGCCGCACGUCAAGCAGCGGCAGCGUGCCGGAACCUCCACUGCCUGCUGAACCACUGAAAGAGGAGGCACCAGACGAGAUGCAACUUGAUUUUAGUGCAGGUCAGGUGCAGGCAGCGAAUGAAUCAGACCAUCAAGUGGUGCUUGCUCCAUCAGCACACAUCGUCGACGAGCCUGGCACCGCUGGGAUGGCGGACUGUGACAAGGAGAGCAGUGGUGAUGGCAUGCCGGAACUUCCAGUGCCUGCUAAACCACCAAAAGAGGAGGCACAGUCCGAAAUGCAACUUAAUUUUAGUGCAGGUCAGGAACAAGCUGAUGACUCAAACCAUCAAGAAGCACCGGCAUCAGUACGUGUGGUCGACAAGCCUACAGGCAACGAUGGCACCACUGGGAUCGCAGGCUGGGACGAGGAGAGCAGCGAUGACGAAGCGCUUGGCUGCAAUGGCGAACAACCCUGCGACAUCACCAAGCGGAAGGGCCCCUUCAAGAAGAGGUGGAGGAAGCCUGUGAAAGCCAGGUCACUCAAGUCACUGAUGAUGUCGUAG